AUGCUCAAUUUUUUCCCUUCUUUUGUUGUAGAAAAAUAUCCGGUAAUCUACACUCAGACAAAAGGAUGGAAAAUUCUUCAUCUCGGAAACCAGCAUGGUGGUACCUACAGAAGCACAUUAGAUAUGACAAGGAUGCACAACAUGAAGAGACAACUCAUUUUCAGAGACUGCAGCAUGAGGAGCUCCGUUGAGGUUUCUUGGAGCAGCCCUCGUUCUGCAACUGGUGAAGCAAGACAGGGGAAGGGAGGGAGCAGAUUUCCACCUGAUUUUCUCCACGUGCUUGAAGACGAGGAGUUUCUGCUAACUGCUGCCAGGCCAGGAGCUGGGACUGCCCAAGCCACUGACACCCAGUGGUCCCAGACACGCAAACCAGCACCAGAACCCGAGCAAGUCUCCAGGCUGCUUCACCGGUGA
rnacentral:lncRNA from 1 species